GUGUCAGCCGCCGCGGUAAUACGGAGGAUGCAAGCGUUGUCCGGAUUUAUUGGGUUUAAAGGGUGCGUAGGCGGAGAAUUAAGUCAGUGGUGAAAGCUUACAGCUUAACUGUAAAACUGCCAUUGAAACUGAUUUUCUUGAGUUCGAUUGAGGUAGAUGGAAUGUAUCAUGUAGCGGUGAAAUGCUUAGACAUGAUACAGAACACCAAUUGCGAAGGCAGUCUACUAAGUCGAUACUGACGCUGAGGCACGAAAGCAUGGGGAGCAAACAGGAUUAGAAACCCCCGUAGUCC
rnacentral:rRNA from 1 species